AUUUGUGACUCGGAAUGGAUUCUGGAAGGAUGUGCCUCCCACUGUGGUGACAUAGGGGCUGAAAGCAGAAAACAGCACUCACACUGUAUGGGUUCCAAGGGGACUUCCAAAAUGUGUGGAGAUGGAACAUUCACCAAAUCUUCUACUAAAAUGCCUGGGAACUGAGAAGAGGAAUACUGGGAACUGCAUUCCACCCAGAAGCCAUGGGGCCUAGACAUGUAGGAAGAAGGGAAUGCAGCAACCAGAGCUGGUUAAACUGAGGUCUUAGCUACAGGAGCACCUGGUGGGGUCAAAGCAAAGUUCUAGAUCAUGCAGCCAUAGAUGAAGAUUGGUGGUCACAGGUAAGUAGUGGGCUGGGGUGCUUACCUGGAGGCAGGGAAACUGGGACGGAACUGGUGUCUUCCAGAGACAGACCAACACCCAGCCCCACUGUCACCUGAGGCAAAGAGCAGGGUAAGACCCCGAGCGGCUGCCUUCAUGAGCUCCGUGUUGACCCGCUGGGUGUAGGCGCUGCUGAGGGAGUCCUCGUCAUCCCCAUAGCUCACGGUGUGCACAUGCGGCAGGGCUGACUCA